AUUUUUGGUUUGAAUAUGGUCUCUCUCUCUCUCGCUCUCAACACUCCCACUCUCUCCCUUCCUUUCUCUCUCCUCGCUGCAAUACCAGUACGCUCGGUUCAAUAUUCUCGAAGCUCCACCAGAUUUCUCUAGCAGAUCAUCCAGAGUACCUCUGGAAGCGUACUCCAAGAAGACAUUGUAAAACUCACAUCCGAUUCAACCAAAGCUCCACCAGAUUUCUUGAGCAGAUCAGCCAGAGUACCUCUGGAAGCAUACUCCAAGAAGAUAUUGUAAAAUCGCUAACCGUUUUCAAUGGUGCGGUCGUCUCCGUGACAGCGAACGAUUUGUGGGCAAUCUCUGAGAUGGGCUAAAAUUUCUCUCUCACUUUGAAGCGAAGAAUACUCGAAAACAACAGCUGAUUUCACCGCCAUCAACUGAGGGAGCUUGACCAGACCAAAAUCUCAUGCCGGGAUCGCUAAAUUCAAGCUCUCUACAUUCAAUUUCGUUUGAUGCUGAAACUCUACAAAGACAGGUUGAAGUUGCUGAAGUUAUGCUUCCAGAGGAACAUCAGUUAAGAAACUCCUAACAACCACUGAACCUGAAGGAGGAGAGAUUGGCUUUGGAAUUGCAGCCCUAGAAAUUCCCCCAAACUAUUGACAGAGGAAAGGGGAUGGAUCAGAAGUACAUGGACUGGUGGGAGAAAUUAUGAUUCUGAAAAUCAGUUCGAUCUUGUGAAUUAGUUUAGGAGUUGUAACUCCAAAACAGAGGUUAGCUUGCUGGACUUGUAGUGGCCUGGAUCCUUCUUCUGAGAAACUUGAUGGGAAGACUGAAAAUAGGUUGUUGGAAUUCAUUAUCUGUUUGUGGAAUUUAUCCUUUGCCCCCCUUUCUUGUUAUUCUCCUUCUCCUCCUCUUCCUCUGCAGAGACAUCUACUAAAGAUUUUAAGGCAACUUUAUUAGUUCUCUUUGUUAGUGUAUUAGAUAUGUAUAUAUUAUAUGCUUUCUCAUAUGGAAGGAACAACAUAUUAAUAAUCUAAACAUGUCAUUAGUGUGACAGUUCUGCUGGUACUUUGGAAACAAGGUACCAAUUUUUGAUUGAAUAAGGAUGGAUUCCUGCAAUAGUUGAAGGCAAUUCAGACCAUGUAAUUGGGUAGACGAAGAAUACUAAAGAGGAACCUUGGUGAUAUGCCUAGCUUAUGAGGCCCAUCCAAAGAUCAUGCUGCCCAGCUGGAUAUUCUUUUCAAAUGGAUGUUAAGAAGUGCCAUUGAAACUGUUGAUGAAUUGGAAAGGCUAUUAUGUUGCGUGACUGAGACAUUGUUUUGGAGAAGAUAUUACUUCGUGAGUCUCAAUUGCUGUGACUGUUACCGUAAUUCUUAUGGGAUGGUAGGAUUUUGUAACUAUGUACUCCUGCGUAUUGUGAUUCUCCUUUCAUGAAUUAAUUUUUAAUUAUCAAAAACAAAAAUAUAAUUGUUAUGUUUAUACCUCCUUGCAGAUUUGAAUUUUCUAAAUACAUUAUGAUUCAGAUACUUGCGUUUCCAUUCUGGUAUUAGGUUAUCUCCAUGUCAACAAUAAAUAAUAAAUGAAUCCUUCUUAAAGGAUCUCAUUCAUCUUUUGUAUUUGAAUCAAUUUCAGGUAUGUUCCAAGGCACUUGCGUCUUAUGGUUUUUGAGUUGGUUAAGAAAAUUCCUUGCGUGCUGUCCAAGAGUGGUUUAUGGAUUCAGAAAAAGUUGCACCUCCCAUUCGAAUAAUAGUUGCUGAUGGAAUUGAGGAUGUUACAAUAAAGGUAUCAUCUGAUACCUGGAAAUUAUUUUUCUGAUAUAUGUAUUUGAGUAGGGAAAAGGCUUGAUGCAUUGAACUGUACUUCUCUUGAGUAUUGGGCAAUUUGUUUUGAGGCUUUCUUUUCAGGUUUAACAUUGAAACACAUUUCUGAAACCAGUGUUGUCUUCAGUUCUUU